AUUUAGGACCACCAAGUAAAGGGACCACCACAUCCUUAAAACUGGACGUAAUUACGUAGACGUCAUCGUGCAGCGUCCUUAUAUGCGUCACAUCCCCGGAUGUCGGUCUUUUUUUCAUAGCAAAGGUAAGACUCCCUUGCCCUGGUGUUUCUGUUGGAAUAAAAUCUGUUUGCAUCUGUGUUACAGAAUAAAAACUAGAGUCUCCAAAUGUCAGGAGAUGAAUCCUUGUAUUUAGACGAUGCAUUAGACAUCGUUAUUACUAUGAUUCGUCCGUCAUGAGUAUAAUAAUGAACAGUUUGUUCUAUCGGUAGUCCUAGGCCGCCGGUUAGCCUUCGUGCUGGCCACAACGUUAGCUAGCUAGCUGGCUAAUAGAAACGUGUUGUCCUUCGUCAGUCUUCUGUACUGUGUUACCAUAUAUUACCAUGUUAUUCCGUUGUCACGUACUUACAUUUACCUAUAAAACAUUAAAUUGUCAGUUUGAAGAGACAAGUGGCUAGCUAGCCAGUAAAGCGCCGUUUCAGUGCUAUGUUGCUAAUUUCUAGCUUACGUUACUUUUUAUGCAGUUCAGCAGUGGUUGUGGUGUUAGCGCUCAACCAAACACGUUUUGUUUUGUGGUAUGGUUGUGAUGUUUUAACAAUUGUGUAAAAUGGUUGUGAUAGUCUUUUGUUUACAAAUGCUGUUUGUAAUUUUGAUUGAGAACAUGAUUUGUUACUUGAAGACUGCAACUUAGUAAUGAUACAGUGCUAGUCGUGUGUAGU